rnacentral:ribozyme from 13 species
AUUGUCAAAAUCAUUAAAACUUUUACUACGUUUCCAAAACUUUAUUCCUUUCUUUUUCUUUUUUUUCUUCUUCUUCUUUUCU